rnacentral:rRNA from 1 species
UGGGGAAUCUUCCGCAAUGGACGAAAGUCUGACGGAGCAACGCCGCGUGAGUGAAGAAGGUUUUCGGAUCGUAAAAACUCUGUCUUUUGGGGCGAACUGAGUAUGGUGAACAAUCAUAGUCAGUGACGGUACCAAAGGAGGAAGCCACGGCUAACUACGUGCCAGCAGCCGCGGUAAUCGUAGGUGGCAAGCGUUGUCCGGAAUUAUUGGGCGUAAAGAGCGCGUAGGCGGGAUAGUCAGUCUGUUGUAAAAGUGCGGGGCUCAACCCCGUGAUCGCAAUGGAAACAGCUAUUCUUGAGUGCAGGAGAGGAAAGUGGAAUUCCCAGUGUAGCGGUGAAAUGCGUAGAUAUUGGGAGGAACACCAGUGGCGAAGGCGACUUUCUGGACUGUGUCUGACGCUGAGGCGCGAAAGCCAGGGGAGCGAACGGGAUUAGAUACCCCCGGUAGUCCUGGCCGUAAACGAUGGGUACUAGGUGUGGGAGGUAUCGACCCCCUUCCGUGCCGGAGUUAACGCAAUAAGUACCCCCGCCUGGGGAGUACGGUCGCAAGACUGAAACUUAAAUGAAUUGACGGGGUCAUAGCUGUUUCCUG